AGCCCCGCCCACCAGGCCGGGUGCCGGGGAGGCGCCGGGAGACCGGAGCCCGCUGGGUUCCGCCGCGGCCACCGCGUGGCAGGGGUGGGGAGGGCGUUCGGUGCCGGGGCCGCGCCCGACCGCCCGACGACUGAAAAGGCGUUUGGGAAUGUGGGAGCCCCGCGUACUCGGCGGCGCUGGUGUUUGGGGAAACUCAAUUGGGCGGAAGUAAGCCUGGUAUGUCCCUGUAAUGGAGUACUGUGCUGUUAGGCUGCUCCUAAAACUCUGUAAAAACAAAAGCAAAUCUGCAUAAAUAUUCAAGUAGAUAACAUUUGCAUAUAUCAGAGCAUGAUUCUAAGCGCUAUGAAAUGGCUCCAGAAACCAGCUUAAAUCCAUCUGGACAGGUCCGAUCCACUUCAGGCUUUUCCUGUCUCACCAGCAUCCUGUCAGAUACAAAAGCAGCCAGAGUGCCAAGCCAAGAGGGAUCCACGGCUCCAGAGCAAUGGAUGACAGACCACACAUCAUCCCACAACGCCGGUCUACCUCGGAAGGCCCCCCUUCUCUAUUCCCCCUAAAAGCCAACCAAUGCCCACCCAAUCAGCUGGAAGCAGUUUUUCUGGGAGAAACGAUGCCCCGAUUCCUAUUUACUUGCUUUUUAUACUAAGCAAAAGUCUGGAAAGUUAGGAUCCUGCUCUCGCUCUUCUGGGUCUAAUGUCUUACAUCAUCGAUGUACCCGCUGCGUGGUCAUGCAAUCUCCACCUUAAAAAGCCACACACAGACCCCCAUGUUCUCUCUACGUUCCUCUUUUGGUUUCCUCUCUGCACUGCUCCCGCCAUCUUUCUGCCUCCGCCAGGCCUGGCUUCCCCCCUCUUUCCCUCCAAUAAAGCUCUAAAAACUAA